rnacentral:tRNA from 1 species
GGGGUUGUGACUCAGUGGUAGAGUGCUUGCCUAGCAUAUAUGAGGAACUGGGUUCGAUCCUCAGCACCACA